rnacentral:rRNA from 1 species
GUGCCAGACUCCUACGGGAGGCAGCAGUGGGGAAUAUUGCACAAUGGGGGAAACCCUGAUGCAGCGACGCCGCGUGAAGGAAGAAGUAUUUCGGUAUGUAAACUUCUAUCAGCAGGGAAGAAAAUGACGGUACCUGACUAAGAAGCCCCGGCUAACUACGUGCCAGCAGCCGCGGUAAUACGUAGGGGGCAAGCGUUAUCCGGAUUCACUGGGUGUAAAGGGAGCGUAGACGGCGACGCAAGUCUGGAGUGAAAGCCCGGGGCCCAACCCCGGGACUGCUCUUGGAACUGCGCGGCUGGAGUGCAGGAGGGGCAGGCGGAAUUCCUGGUGUAGCGGUGAAAUGCGUAGAUAUCAGGAGGAACACCGGUGGCGAAGGCGGCCUGCUGGACUGCGACUGACGUUGAGGCCCGAAAGCGUGGGGAGCAAACAGGAUUAGAUACCCUGGUACC